rnacentral:rRNA from 1 species
UACGUAGGGUGCAAGCGUUGUCCGGAAUUAUUGGGCGUAAAGAGCUCGUAGGCGGCCUGUUGCGUCCGCUGUGAAAUCCCGGGGCUUAACCCCGGGCUUGCAGUGGAUACGGGCAGGCUGGAGGCAGGCAGGGGAGAACGGAAUUUCCGGUGUAGCGGUGAAAUGCGUAGAUAUCGGAAGGAACACCUAUGGCGAAAGCGGCUCACUGGACCAUUACUGACGCUGAGGCACGAAAGCUAGGGGAGCAAACAGG